UCAAUAAGCGGAGGAAAAGAAACCAACAGGGAUUGCCCUAGUAACGGCGAGUGAAGCGGCAACAGCUCAAAUUUGAAAUCUGGCGCAAGCCCGAGUUGUAAUUUGUAGAGGAUGCUUCGGGGCAGCGGCCGGUCUAAGUUCCUUGGAACAGGACGUCAUAGAGGGUGAGAAUCCCGUAUGCGACCGGUUGGCACCCCACACGUAGCUCCUUCGACGAGUCGAGUUGUUUGGGAAUGCAGCUCUAAAUGGGAGGUAAAUUCCUUCUAAAGCUAAAUACCGGCCAGAGACCGAUAGCGCACAAGUAGAGUGAUCGAAAGAUGAAAAGCACUUUGGAAAGAGAGUUAAAAAGCACGUGAAAUUGUUGAAAGGGAAGGGCAUGCAACCAGACUUGUCGGCGGUGUUCCGCCGGUCUUCUGACCGGUUCAUUCGCCGCCGGCAGGCCAGCAUCAUCUGGGUGCGCCGGAUAAAGGCGCGAGGAAUGUGGCCCUUCGGGGUGUUAUAGCCUCGCGCACAAUACGGUGCCGCCCGGGUGAGGUCCGCGCUUCGGCUAGGAUGCUGGCGUAAUGGUUGUCUGCCGCCCGUCUUGAAACACGGACCAAGGAGUCUAACAUCUAUGCGAGUGUUCGGGUGUCAAACCCCUACGCGUAAUGAAAGUGAACGGAGGUGGGAACCGCAAGGUGCACCAUCGACCGAUCCUGAUGUCCUCGGAUGGAUUUGAGUAAGAGCAUAGCUGUUGGGACCCGAAAGAUGGUGAACUAUGCCUGAAUAGGGUGAAGCCAGAGGAAACUCUGGUGGAGGCUCGCAGCGGUUCUGACGUGCAAAUCGAUCGUCAAAUUUGGGUAUAGGGGCGAAAGACUAAUCGAACCAUCUAGUAGCUGGUUCCUGCGAU
rnacentral:rRNA from 1 species